rnacentral:rRNA from 1 species
GUCUAUGGCCAUGCCACCCUGAACGUGCCCAAUCUUGUCUGAUCUCAGAAGCUAAGCAGGGUCUGGCCUGGUUAGUACUUGGAUAGGAGACCACCUAGGAAUACCAGGUGCUGUAGGUG